rnacentral:rRNA from 1 species
UACGGAGGGGGCUAGCGUUGUUCGGAAUUACUGGGCGUAAAGCGCACGUAGGCGGCUUUGUAAGUUAGAGGUGAAAGCCCAGGGCUCAACCCUGGAAUUGCCUUUAAGACUGCAUCGCUUGAACACCGGAGAGGUAAGUGGAAUUCCGAGUGUAGAGGUGAAAUUCGUAGAUAUUCGGAAGAACACCAGUGGCGAAGGCGACUUACUGGACGAUUGUUGACGCUGAGGUGCGAAAGCGUGGGGAGCAAACAGG